rnacentral:rRNA from 1 species
GACGAACGCUGGCGGCGUGCGUAACACAUGCAAGUCGAACGAGAGAGUGAGAGAAGCUUGCUUUUCUUAUGAUCGAGUGGCAAACGGGUGAGUAACGCGUAAACAACCUGCCCCGCAGAUGCGACAACAGCUGGAAACGGCUGCUAAUACCGAAUACGGUCCUCUUAGCGCAUGGUAAGAGGAAGAAAGGGUGGCCUCUGGAACAAGCUACCGCUGUGGGAGGGGUUUGCGUCUGAUUAGCUGGUUGGAGGGGUAACGGCCCACCAAGGCGACGAUCAGUAGCCGGUCUGAGAGGAUGAACGGCCACAUUGGAACUGAGACACGGUCCAGACUCCUACGGGAGGCAGCAGUGGGGAAUCUUCCGCAAUGGGCGAAAGCCUGACGGAGCAACGCCGCGUGAGUGAAGACGGCCUUCGGGUUGUAAAGCUCUGUUAUAGGGGACGAACGGCCGGGUAGCGAAGAGUACCCGGCAUGAC